rnacentral:rRNA from 1 species
CCUACGGGAGGCAGCAGUGGGGAAUAUUGCGCAAUGGAGGAAACUCUGACGCAGCCAUGCCGCGUGAGUGAAGAAGGCCCUAGGGUUGUAAAACUCUUUCAGACGUGAUGAUGAUGACAGUAACGUCAAAAGAAGUUCCGGCUAACUUCGUGCCAGCAGCCGCGGUAAUACGAAGGGAACUAGCGUUGUUCGGAUUUACUGGGCGUAAAGAGCAUGUAGGCGGAUUGGUCAGUUGGGGGUGAAAUCCCGGAGCUCAACUCCGGAACUGCCUCCAAUACUGCUAAUCUAGAGUCCGUAAGGGGGUGGUGGAAUUCCGAGUGUAGAGGUGAAAUUCGUAGAUAUUCGGAGGAACACCAGUGGCGAAGGCGACCACCUGGUACGGUACUGACGCUGAGAUGCGAAAGCGUGGGGAGCAAACAGGAUUAGAUACCCUGGUAGUCCACGCCGUAAACGAUGAGUGCUAGUUGUCGGGAUGCAUGCAUCUCGGUGACGCAGCUAACGCAUUAAGCACUCCGCCUGGGGAGUACGGUCGCAAGAUUAAAACUCAAAGGAAUUGACGG